GAAAGCGGGGAGGGCGGGAUAACAGGAAAUGGACACUUUGCUGUUGCCUCCACCUCCGGGGGAACCUCCCCCGAGGCGUUGAGAAUGGAGAAUUUCGGAGAAGGCCCGCCCUAUGGUCGGGUCACUUCCGCAGCGAUGCCUCUAGAGUGAGAGCUGGUGGGUGAGGCCAGAAGUUGACAGGCUGACUGGCGGAGGAGAGGACCUUACUGUAGCCAAAUUUGGGCUAAAGACGGUUGUGACAGUUAAACAACCGGGGAAAAACAAGCCGGAGACUAAGUAUCUGUGCUAUCGGUUAGGCUGGCUUUGACUGCAAAUAAUAGCAUGCCAAAUGCAUGGUCCUUAUUAGUUAUUGUUUUCAUUCUUGUGGCCAAAUACCUACCAGAAAUAGCUUCACUCCGUGUAUUCCCUGAGCAGCUUGCGGCGGCUAUAAAAAUGGCGGAAUCUGUCAAAAGUGUCCCAAGGGAAGGACAUCCUAAAACACGGGAGCCCGGGAGUCACAGAGCUCUGAGGUGGGACAGUGUCCCAUUUGAAGGGCAUCUUGAGAAUCUGAAACCCAGGAACUACACAGCUCUGAGGGGAGAAGGACAUCCUGAGACAUCAGAGCCCAGAAUCCAUACAGUUUUGAGAGGAAGCCUCUUCAGCAGAACCGUUGCAGAUCCCAGGGGAGGGUAUCUCCAGCCCAGCUCAGGAGCUCAGGAGCUCAGGAGCCUCCGCCCCAUUCUACUUCUUUGCUUCUUCCCUUUCUCUAUUAAUUUCUUCUUGGCUUUUUGCAACGAGAGAGCCAUAUGAGGCAGCAGAUCUCAUAAAAGAUAUUUAUUGGAGAAAAAUGUUAUGGUGGGAAGAGAAAAGAGCAAGGGGUUAGAAGAGUUUAAAAAAGAACAGAUUUCCCAAUAAUGAGGAAAGUUUAAGAAAACUUAUAUAAAUUUAAGAAUGGAAGUAAAACAUGGAAACAUAGUAGCUUGUUUAAACAGAAAAGCAUCAACAAGGUAAAGUUAAAACGCUAACCAAAGCCUGCUAGAAAGAAAAAAAAAAUCACGGAGAAAAGAGAAGGAAGAGUUACCACUGGCAUAUAUAUCUAAACAUUAUGAGGUCCCAGGAAAGCAGCUUCCAGUCUGAUGCAUUAUCUAUAAAACCAUGACUUGUUUUUGAAGGUACACUAUGUG
rnacentral:sRNA from 1 species